UACGGAGGGGGCGAGCGUUGUUCGGAAUUACUGGGCGUAAAGGGCGCGUAGGUGGUUCAGCAAGUCGGGCGUGAAAGCCCUUGGCUUAACUGAGGAACUGCGUUCGAAACUGCUGAACUUGAGUGCGGGAUAGGAGAGCGGAAUUCCCAGUGUAGCGGUGAAAUGCGUAGAUAUUGGGAAGAACACCGGUGGCGAAGGCGGCUCUCUGGACCGCAACUGACACUGAGGCGCGAAAGCUAGGGGAGCAAACGGG
rnacentral:rRNA from 1 species